CCAACCGUAAGGAGGGUCGUGAAGGAAGCGAGUAUCAAAAUUUCGAGCCUAUGAACAAAAACUAGAAUCUGAUAAGAAUUAGAAUCUGAUAAGAAAUAAACUCUGAUAAUCAUUUGAAUCUCGACUAUUAAUGAAAAAAGCAGCGAAAGCUGCUUUU
rfam:Erysipelotrichaceae bacterium NYT-BL-F16 NODE_1_length_81859_cov_111.547_ID_1, whole genome shotgun sequence.